rnacentral:rRNA from 1 species
GACGAACGCUGGCGGCGUGCUUAACACAUGCAAGUCGAACGGAAAGGCCCUGCUUUUGUGGGGUGCUCGAGUGGCGAACGGGUGAGUAACACGUGAGUAACCUGCCCUUGACUUUGGGAUAACUUCAGGAAACUGGGGCUCAUACCGGAUAGGAGCUCCUGCUGCAUGGUGGGGGUUGGAAAGUUUCGGCGGUUGGGGAUGGACUCGCGGCUUAUCAGCUUGUUGGUCGGGUAGUGGCUGACCAAGGCUUUGACGGGUAGCCGGCCUGAGAGGGUUACCGGCCACAUUGGUACUGCGAUACGGCGCAGACUCCUACGGGAGGCAGCAGUCGGGAAUAUUGCAGAGUGGGCGGAAGCCUGAUGCAGCAGCGCCGGGUGCGGGAUGACGGCCUUCGGGUUGUAAACCGAUUUCGCCUGUGACGAAGCGUGAGUGACGGUAAUGGGUAAAGAAGCACCGGCUAACUACGUG